AUCACUUCUUGGUCUUUUGGCUAAGAGCAGGUGUUCAUAUCAGUUUAAUGUCUGAUACAUCCUCAAUAAGAGGACUAUAUAUUAAAUGAAUUUUUGGGGUCAACAGUUGGACCCAGAGCUUGCUUCCACCACUCCUUGCAUCAUCCCAGUAAGGAAGUACCUCCAGGCAUGGUACACACUUG
ensembl:snRNA U2 U2 spliceosomal RNA